rnacentral:rRNA from 1 species
GAGUUUGAUCNGGCUCAGAACGAACGCUGGCGGCAGGCCUAACACAUGCAAGUCGAGCGCACCUUCGGGUGAGCGGCGGACGGGUUAGUAACGCGUGGGAACGUGCCCUUCUCUACGGAAUAGCCUCGGGAAACUGAGAGUAAUACCGUAUACGCCCUUCGGGGGAAAGAUUUAUCGGAGAAGGAUCGGCCCGCGUUAGAUUAGAUAGUUGGUGGGGUAACGGCCUACCAAGUCUACGAUCUAUAGCUGGUUUUAGAGGAUGAUCAGCAACACUGGGACUGAGACACGGCCCAGACUCCUACGGGAGGCAGCAGUGGGGAAUCUUGGACAAUGGGCGAAAGCCUGAUCCAGCCAUGCCGCGUGAGUGAUGAAGGCCUUAGGGUCGUAAAGCUCUUUCGCCAGGGAUGAUAAUGACAGUACCUGGUAAAGAAACCCCGGCUAACUCCGUGCCAGCAGCCGCGGUAAUACGGAGGGGGUUAGCGUUGUUCGGAAUUACUGGGCGUAAAGCGCACGUAGGCGGAUCAGAAAGUUGGGGGUGAAAUCCCCGGGGCUCAACCCCGGAACUGCCUUCAAAACUCCUGGUCUAGAGUUCGAGAGAGGUGAGUGGAAUUCCGAGUGUAGAGGUGAAAUUCGUAGAUAUUCGGAGGAACACCAGUGGCGAAGGCGGCUCACUGGCUCGAUACUGACGCUGAGGUGCGAAAGUGUGGGGAGCAAACAGGAUUAGAUACCCUGGUAGUC